GCUGGUAUAGCUCAGUCGGUAGAGCACUUCACUCGUAAUGAAGGGGUCGUGUGUUCGAGUCACAUUACCAGCU
rnacentral:tRNA from 1 species